GCUCCGGUGGCCUAGUGGUUAGAGCGUCCGCCUCGGAUGCGGGAGGUCGUGGGUUCGAUUCCCGGUCGAGACA